rnacentral:tRNA from 1 species
GGGCAAGCGGCCGAGAGGCGACGUGCGGCGGCGGACUGUAAAUCCGUUACUUAGGAACCGAUGGGGGUUCGAUUCCCUCCUUGCUCACCA